rnacentral:rRNA from 1 species
AUUGAACGCUGGCGGCAGGCCUAACACAUGCAAGUCGAGCGAGCGGCGGACGGGUGAGUAAUGUCUGGGAAACUGCCUGAUGGAGGGGGAUAACUACUGGAAACGGUAGCUAAUACCGCAUACCAUCAGAUGUGCCCAGAUGGGAUUAGCUAGUAGGUGGGGUAACGGCUCACCUAGGCGACGAUCCCUAGCUGGUCUGAGAGGAUGACCAGCCAACAUGGAACCGAGACACGGUCCCAACUCCUAAGGGAGGCAGGAGGGGGGGAUUAUGCACAAAGGGCGCAAGCCGGAAGGCACCAUGCCGCGGUGGGGAAAGAGGGCUUCGGGUUUUAAAGGAAUUUCAGCGGGGAAGCGGUACCCGCAAGAGGAGCACCGGCUAACUCCGUGGCAGCAGCCGCGGUAAUUC